CGGGCACAGCGGGAAGCCAGGUGGUGACACCGAGCAGAACCCGAAAGCCGUUCUCAGUUCGGAUCGGAGUCUGCAACCCGACUCCGUGAAGCUGGAUUCGCUAGUAAUCGCGGAUCAGAAUGCCGCGGUGAAUACGUUCCCGGGUCUUGUACACACCGCCCGUCACACCAUGGGAGUCGGAAAUGCCCGAAGUCGGUGACCUAACUGAAAGGAAGGAGCCGCCGAAGGCAGGUCUGGUGACUGGGGUGAAGUCGUAACAAGGUAAC
rnacentral:rRNA from 1 species